GUCACGCGCCGCUUGCUGGCUCGCGGCCCCCAAGCUGCGUUGACCCGCGCAGGCCUAGGCGGUUGCGAACACCCGCCUCCUAGUCCCCACGCGCCGACUUCCGGUCUUUUUCUACAUCUAUUGGUCAACCUCUGUAACCAUCGCGUCACGACCUUAAAGUGGAUUAGUUGGCCUUGUGGUCAGUCAUAGUGACCCCUGACAAGGGGAGGCUUCAUUGGCGCCAUAAAGUGUCGAUCACUUUGUCACAGGACGUCGCGUGGUACAAUUGGCAGGCAAUAGUACCAUUCAUCCCGCCCCCGUCUGAGGUGACGGGAAAGGGUUGGGGAAUUUCCACUUCUGAUUAAAAUGACGGCUGAGGUGACGACCCGCCAGAAUUAGUGAGAUUUGGAGUAGAAUUCACCCCGAGCUUGGUGAGGCUUAUACGUUAAGGAUGCAAGAGGCACAGAGGUUACCAAGCUCCCACCUGUCGCUCUCCGCCAGACGCCGAGACUGCGGCCGGAGAGUUCCUGCACGGGGAUUGGAGGAAUGAAGCAAUCAGUCUCAUCUAGUCCCCACCUUCCUCGCAGUCUCUGGUUGGAGGAGCGGAGCGUCAGUCACUAGAGCGGUCGCCACCUCUGGGACAGGAAUUUGUUGUCAACUCCUGGACAGGUCCUAUAGUGGAAUUCAGCACCAGGAAAAGAGGGUUCACGUGAGGAUCAAAUGAGACCAAGUGUGGAGAAAACUUAACACGGUGCCUAGUGCACAGUAAGUAUUUAGCCAGUGUCAGUUCUUGCUGUAUUUGUUAUUAUUACUGCCCUGCCCCUGAUGCCAGCCUAACAAAGGUACCUUCAGUACAGGUGCCAGGAAGAUGGAGGCUCCUGUGAGGAUAAACACCACCAGGCCUGUCAGCCUCUGCUCCCUGUGGGGUGAGGGAAGAGUUAGCUAGGGGCUGGGAGAGCCCCCAGGGUGCGUGGCUUGGAGAUGCUGACCAGACGCCACUACAGGCACUGGCAGGAGGGAAGUGGAGAGAGCCCUUCCCCCCAACCCCCCCCCCCCAAUAGUAGCCUGGCAGGGAGGGGGCCUUAGCAUCAUGUGCAAAAUUGGUGGAAAGGAAGGGGCAGGGCACUUGAGCUGGGAUGUUCCAGGCCUCUCCAUCAGCUCAAGCUCAUAGUUGCUCUUUGUUUUUAUUUUUUAUUUUGGUGCAACGUUAGCGAUUUUUACACUGCCAUAAAAACUUUCAUUUCACAGUUUCAAAGUUGAUUUCACAAACUUUCCACGGAUUGUAUUUCCAACGGUUAGAAAAUUGUUUUUGUGACAGUAACUUUGUAACAUCAGUGAGGCACUCCUACCUUGCGGGGUGGAGGGGGGGGCGGGGAUGGGGGGGUUUGUUAGGUGGCACCUCACCUUCCCUUGGCCCUGGCCGCCUCUGCCUUUGUGUCCAUGAGGCUCCUCCCACGGGCCCUCCCACACCCAUGGCCAAGGAGAAGAGGGAAGACCUGACACGCCCAUCUCAGCCCGGAACCCACCCAUUCACCCCACUGCAGUGCUUAUGGAGUAGUGAGAGAGCCCUCUGGAGGCUUAGAAUUUAAGCUGUCCAAAUCACUCUGCCUUGUACUCCCCUACACCACCUUACUGAUGGAUCUCUCACUCUGGCCUCCUCAAUAUUGGCCUCACCUGAUGCCCAGGAAGCUGCGGGGUUCCCCCAGGACACAAGCUGUGCUCUCUCUCCGAAGACUGUCCAUAUGGGCCAGGGAGAUGACUGUGGCUGAGACAUACCAGGGCAGCCCAAGCACUGAUGUGAGCAGCAGCAGCACAGCCACACAGAAGAGGUCCAGGUGGAAGCCAGCUCCCUUCUGCAGGUAGUGGUGGAGCAUCGAGGAUGAAACUAAGCCAGAUCUGGGCUCUCUGUCCUCUGGAGUGGGAGAGGGAGGACCUGGACCCCACCCUGGAGUUUCUGUACCUUGGUCUAGGGGCCUCUGGUCCUACCCAGCAGGUCUUACCUGCAGUUUAUAUUCGGCACGGUUGAGGAUGACCGCUGUGAUCUGCUGGUCCAUGAAGAUAAGGAUAGACAGCAGCAGAGCAGGGAGGGCGGCUGCCACACUCAGCCACCAGGGGUUGGCUCCAAAAGGUGACACCAGCCAUCCACGCCCAGGGAGUGUGGGCUGGGAGAGGGCAUUCCGUGGACAAGUUAGAGAGGGUCUCCCAAGAGCACCUCACCUGCACACCCCGGCUUUGGCAUUCCUCCAUAACCCCCCAACCCCCUUACCCCAGUUCCAAGACCCUGGGUGGUAGGUGGGAGCAGUAUGUGUGCAUGUACAACUGGUUGAAAGCAUUCCAGUGCCUUAAAAGAGGGCAGAAGAAGGGGAACCAGCCUGGGAGUUGGGCUGGAGCCAGGGGCUCUGGAUUUUGGUUCUCAGGUGCCCUCCCUCCCUGCAAGAGGAGGAGAUGGUGGGUGAGGCCUGCCCACAUUUCUUGAUGUACAGAGCCCUCCUCCCUAGGCACCCCCCGCCCCCUACAACCAGGGUGGGGCGACUCAGGCUCAAACCUGCCUUGAUCUGGGGCCAGGGCAGGGCUGGGUGUGUCUGCGUCUGCUCUGAUUAUAAGCGUCUGUGUCGGGGAGGGGACCCCAGUUGCCAUCUCAGAUUCUGAGCCCCUGAGGCUACCCCAGGUGGAGUCUCCCUGCUCUCCUGUCCUGGGGGAAGCUGGAGAGGAGGUCUCCAAAUGCACAGGCAAAGUCUAGGUGCUAAGUCCGUGCUAAGCCUUGUCCUGUGCACUGCUGUGCCCUUGGGAGGGAGCUCCAGCUUUAGCAGAUCAGAGCCGGCAAACAGGGGUGCAAAGAAGACAGUGCGGAGUAGUAGGGUGGGUAGGGCCAACCUAUGACAACAAUAAGUAACAUUUUUUGAGAUCUUGGUAUGUGCCAGAUGAGUGACUUACACUCAUCUUCCGUGAACCUCAGAACAACUUAUAGAGUAGCAGCUAUUGUUAUUUAUUAUUUCCAUUUUACUGGUAAAUAAAUUGAGGCUCAUUGAUGAGAAAUGUGGGUUGGCUUGCCUAAGGUCACACAGCUAGGAAGUGGCAGAACUGGAUCUCGAGCCCAGGGCUGGCUGACUAGAACCCAACCUCUUAACCCCUAAUUUAUAAUAAUAACUCCCAUGUUUUCUGUACCCACUGUGUUGGCAGCAACACCUCAUUAAUCCUCACAACAACUCUGUGAGGUCAUUAUUAUUACUAUUUGUAUUUUAUGAGCAAGGAAAUGGAAGCUCAGAGGAAGAAAAGCAUGGUAUCCAUUCAUCUUCCUCCUCCAAAGUCCUGUCUGCUGGCCCUGCUCUCCCCUCUGUUCUACACUCCCAGCUCUCACCUUGAACUCGCCGGGCACCAUGAGCUUUGGUGUGGCUAGACCCAGGAAGGAGUCGAGGCCACAGCCCAGCAGCAUGGCCAGGACUGAGGAGAAGUCACCGAGCACUUUGCGCACCUGGCCACACAGUGGACACUUGGUCAGGUUCAGGCCUGCCAGCUCCCUCCCUCUUUACCCUUUCCCAUUCACAGACAGGGCCCAAGGCCAAGAGGCAGUACUCUCCCACAGACAGAGGUAACACUCACCACAGAGGGGAAGAAGCGGCUUGUCUUUACAUGCUUGAGGGCCGUGGCUAUGAGGAAAGAAGUAAGGAAGAGGAGGACAGAGAAGAAGGCGAUGUCUGGGACUGUAUGACAGCCGGGACCACGAGGGUGGCCUCCCCGUCGGGCACACUCAGGUGGGGGCAGCAAGGAGGCAUUGACCAGGCCUAGGUCCUGUAUGGAGGGGUGUUCAGGUAUGGGGUUAUGGGUGGCAGAAUAAACGUUGACUGACACUCACUGAGACACCAAGGGCCCAGGAUAGGAGGUCUCCAGCCACAGCAAAUGUCUGGGCCUCUGUGAACUGUAAUGGUUUCCCUAGCCUGUGGGGAGGGAAAAGCCAGGAACCACUGACUUCUUUGGCUUCCACCAUGUCUUUCCCAGGACUCUCCCAGGAACUGGCCCUCACCAUGCUUGAGAUGUCAUCUCUGUCUUUUGGUUCUGUCUUCUUCCACUGAGACUCAUUUCCUGGGAAGCAGAGAACAAUUUGGGUAUAUGUGCCUCCUCUGGAAAGCUUCUCCAGCCCCUCAGGAGCCUGAUCUCAUGGAUCCAACUGAGCCAGAAAGUUCUUAGUUCUGACUCAUCUGUCUUCUGACCCUAAAUGCUGUGCUCCUCAGGACAUCUCCCAGUCCCUACCAAUUCCUUACAUCUCUGUAUCCCUGGUGCCCGGCAUAGGACCAGCCAGAGCAGAUGCCUAGCAAAUGUUUGCUUAAAAGAUGAGCACACCAAUCUGUGGGUUUCUAUCAGGACCAGAACUGGUUUUGCUCAUGCCUAACACAGAGUCUGGCACUCUUGAGAGGAUAUCUCUUCCCCAUUCCUGCUGCUUCCUUGUGCAGGGGUAUGUGCAAGUGUAAAACUCUGAGCUGCUCUUCCCCUCAGUCAGUCACUCAGACUAGGGGAAGAGCAGCAAUUUAUUCGAUUGGUGAAUUUGAGAGAAGGAAUGGAGCAUGCCUCUCCCUGUCCCUUCCUCUCCCCACUCUUGGGAAUAAGCUGCCUGCCCUGUGCAUGCAACUUAGCUCUGCCCUUCUGUGGCAAGACAGUCCCUGUCCAGGGCAGCCAUGACUGGGUGGGUAAAUCUAUUUAAUUUUGGUUUCAUUGUUAGGAAGCCCGUUUCCCCAUAGAUAUAAGCAUGUUCUUCUAUCAGCACUGUCAGAAAUAAAGAUGAUAUUGGGGCACCUG